rnacentral:rRNA from 1 species
AGCACGGGAGCAAUCCUGGUGGCGAGUGGCGAACGGGUGAGUAAUGUAUCGGAACGUACCUUUCAGUGGGGGAUAACGUAGCGAAAGUUACGCUAAUACCGCAUAUUCUGUGAGCAGGAAAGCAGGGGAUCGCAAGACCUUGCGCUGAUUGAGCGGCCGAUAUCAGAUUAGCUAGUUGGUGAGGUAAAGGCUCACCAAGGCGACGAUCUGUAGCGGGUCUGAGAGGAUGAUCCGCCACACUGGAACUGAGGCACGGUCCAGACUCCUACGGGAGGCAGCAGUGGGGAAUUUUGGACAAUGGGGGCAACCCUGAUCCAGCCAUGCCGCGUGAGUGAAGAAGGCCUUCGGGUUGUAAAGCUCUUUCAGCCGGGAAGAAAACGCAUGGGUUAAUACCCUGUGUGGAUGACGGUACCGGAAUAAGAAGCACCGGCUAACUACGUGCCAGCAGCCGCGGUAAUACGUAGGGUGCGAGCGUUAAUCGGAAUUACCGGGCGUAAAGCGUGCGCAGGCGGUUUGUUAAGAUAGGCGUGAAAUCCCCGGGCUCAACCUGGGAACUGCGUUUAUGACUGGCAGGCUAGAGUAUGGCAGAGGGGGGUGGAAUUCCACGUGUAGCAGUGAAAUGCGUAGAGAUGUGGAGGAACACCGAUGGCGAAGGCAGCCCCCUGGGCCAAUACUGACGCUCAUGCACGAAAGCGUGGGUAGCAAACAGGAUUAGAUACCCUGGUAGUCCACGCCUUAAACGAUGUCAACU